UGAUUAAGGAAGGAAAGAGAAAAGAAAUCAGAAGAAAAGGUUGUAUGAAGGGGAUUCUUAUAGAAGAAAGUUCAGAGUGGAAGAAUAUCAGAAGCCACUCCACAGUGAAGUGUGGAGUGGAAGAAUAUUAAGAGAUAUGUGUAAGAAUCAUUAGAAACUAUAUGAGCGCGGAGCAUGGAGUGGGAGAACAUUAGAAGCUACACAGAAGAAUUGUUAGAGACUAUGUGAGUGUGGAGUAUGGAGUGGAAGAACAUUAAGAGCUAUGUGGAAGAAUUGUUAGAAACUACGCGAGCGCGGAGCACAGAGCAGAAGAACAUUGAGGGUUAUGUGAGGUCAC
rnacentral:sRNA from 1 species